rnacentral:rRNA from 1 species
CGUAGGUGGCAAGCGUUAUCCGGAAUUAUUGGGCGUAAAGCGCUCGCAGGCGGUUUCUUAAGUCUGAUGUGAAAGCCCACGGCUCAACCGUGGAGGGUCAUUGGAAACUGGGAGACUUGAGUGCAGAAGAGGAGAGUGGAAUUCCACGUGUAGCGGUGAAAUGCGUAGAGAUGUGGAGGAACACCAGUGGCGAAGGCGACUCUCUGGUCUGUAACUGACGCUGAGGAGCGAAAGCGUGGGGAGCAAACAGG